AUAAUUUAUCUUUGUGUUUAAUGGUUAACACUUAACAAGGUUCCUCUUUAUGGUUGAUUUUUAUGCCUUUAUUAUGAUUAUUAGAAUUUAAUUUGUUGUUCUGAAUUCUGAACAAUGGCCAUGAUCCUUAGCUUAGCUAUUAAGUAGAAGGUUUAGGAUAAAUUGGAAACUCACUCAUCUUUCUUCCAUGGCCGAACCACACACUCCACCAUCACUAUACAUCACUCAAAAUUCAUCUCUCCACCAUUUUCAUCCUUUCGAAGCUUGUUUGAAAGCUAGGAGUUGUGAGCUUCCUCUUCUAAGGUUGCUACAUGUUAAGUUGACACUGCUUUAUGUAAGAUUUGCUUCAAGUUUUGGGACUGGUUUAUGCAACAUAUUUUGGGUACAGCCUAACAGCAAUGACUGUAGAUAUUAUGUAAUGAAGAAUAUGAUUGACAUUGUCUCAGCUAGUAUUACAAAGAAUUGAUGGAGGUGUUCGAUGAUCCCACGUCAUUAACAAAGGAGGAGCUGUAUGAAUUGCGAAACAGCUGGGCAAAUUGUUUUCUUGACCUAUAUAAUCCCGAGGUAGAUUAUGAUGCCGAUGACGAGGCUUAGGAGCUAGCUAGGUUAAUUUGUGUGAUGUUACAAUGGAUUCAUAUUAAUUAUGAUGUUUUGAAUUGUAAUGACUUAGUAUUUUGCUUGAAUGUUGAAUUAACAUUUUGGAUGAAUGUUGAGAUAUUGUAUGACAUUUGGUAUUUUGGAUGAUGUUGAAUUUUAAUGACAUUUGAUCAUAUUAUGUAAUUGUAUUUUGGUUGAAUGUUGAAUUGUAAUGCUAUUUUAGUUUUUUUUAAUUACAAAAUAGGA